AGCAGCCGCGGUAAUUCCAGCUCCAAUAGCGUAUAUUAAAGUUGUUGCAGUUAAAAAGCUCGUAGUUGAAUUUCGGGAUCAAAGGAUCGGUCAUGCCUUGGUAUGUACUGGUUUUAUUGGUUCUCACCUUCUAAAGAACCAUAAUGUCAUUCAUUUGAUGUUAUGGGGAAUUAGGACUGUUACCUUGAAAAAAUUAGAGUGUUUAAAGCAGGCUUACGCUUGAAUACAUUAGCAUGGAAUAAUGAAAUAGGACAUCAGAUUCUAUUUUGUUGGUUUCUAGGAUCGAUGUAAUGAUUAAUAGGGAUAGUUGGGGGCAUUAGUAUUCAAUUGUCAGAGGUGAAAUUCUUGGAUUUAUUGAAGACUAACUACUGCGAAAGCAUUUGCCAAGGAUGUUUUCAUUAAUCAAGAACGAAAGUUAGGGGAUCGAAGACGAUCAGAUACCGUCGUAGUCUUAACCAUAAACUAUGCCGACUAGGGAUCGGAUGAUGUUAAUUUUUAUAAUGACUCAUUCGGCACCUUA
rnacentral:misc_RNA from 1 species